rnacentral:tRNA from 3 species
GGAGAGGUGGGUGAGUGGCUGAAACCAACAGUUUGCUAAACUGUCGUAGCCCCUAAGGCUACCGGGGGUUCGAAUCCCCCCUUCUCCG